UGGGGAAUAUUGCACAAUGGGCGCAAGCCUGAUGCAGCCAUGCCGCGUGUGUGAAGAAGGCCUUCGGGUUGUAAAGCACUUUCAGCGGGGAGGAAGGCGGUGAGGUUAAUAACCUCAUCGACUGACGUUACCCGCAGAAGAAGCACCGGCUAACUCCGUGCCAGCAGCCGCGGUAAUACGGAGGGUGCAUGCGUUAAUCGGAAUUACUGGGCGUAAAGCGCACGCAGGCGGUCUGUCAAGUCGGAUGUGAAAUCCCCGGGCUCAACCUGGGAACUGCAUUCGAAACUGGCAGGCUAGAGUCUUGUAGAGGGGGGUAGAAUUCCAGGUGUAGCGGUGAAAUGCGUAGAGAUCUGGAGGAAUACCGGUGGCGAAGGCGGCCCCCUGGACAAAGACUGACGCUCAGGUGCGAAAGCGUGGGGAGCAAACGGG
rnacentral:rRNA from 1 species